GUCCGGCCUCCCGGGGGCGGAGGAGCCGGGGGCCCGGAGGAGGGGCCGCGAGGGCCUGGAUGGAGGAGCCGGGUUGCGACCGCGGCGGCGAGGAGACCCAGCCGAGCUGGGGUGUGAGGAGCCGCCAGCAGAGGAGGGUCGGGGGAAGAAGGUUCAGUUCCUUUUGUCCCUGACCCCUGCAAGCCAAACCAUCAGCUCCAGGCUCUCUUUGUGGGACUGAACCCGGGUCAUGGCAGUGAAAGCAGGGAGUCCUAACCACUGGGCAACCUGGGAAUUCCCAGGACCCCUCUUACUGACACAGAUAGGAAGAGACGGCUCUCGGUGAUUCCAUCCAGCAGAAGAGGACAAUCAGACCAGAUCAUGCAGGCCACAGUGUACAAACUGAAAAUGCUCCCACCCCAGCAAGUCUGCACUGGGCCAAUACCUGCCAUCUAGUGAAAACUU